GACAUAUGUUAUGAAUUUCAUAUAUCAGAAUGCAAUUGAAUAGUGUCAGUUUUCCCAAAGGAAUGUGUAUUUGCAUAUCUGAAACAAAUGUUCCUUCUCAUAUAUAAGUAUUUUCAUAUACAAGUAAUUAUUUAGUUUUGGAAUUGUGGUGUUUACCUUUAUCUUCAUAUGAUGGAUAUUUCGGUUAUUUCAGGUUGUAUCUGCAUUACAAGGCAUAACAGAAUCAGAUGACUGUUGUUUAGUUGAAGAUUCUUCUUCUUCUUCUUCUUCCGAAAAAUCAUAUUUACCAAAUGAUGAGCCGGUCAUUCCCAUGACAUAUUCGGGAACUAUAAGUGAAUCUUUUUAGCGGCUGCUGCCAAGGUUAAUGACAGGGCUAUUAUUUCAAUUUGAGAGAAAUCAUUGCUUCAUUGCUGAGUAAACCAUAGUGUUAAGUAGGAGUGCUCGAUCUUCCCAUGUUGAUACCCAGGUGAAAAUAUGCCCACAGUUGAGAUGGAGCUUAUAUCUAAAGUUCGUAAUCCGUUCAUUGUAGAGUAUAAAGAUUCAUGGGUAGAAAAGG